AUUGAACGCUGGCGGCAGGCCUAACACAUGCAAGUCGAACGGUAGCACAGAGAGCUUGCUCUCGGGUGACGAGUGGCGGACGGGUGAGUAAUGUCUGGGAAACUGCCCGAUGGAGGGGGAUAACUACUGGAAACGGUAGCUAAUACCGCAUAACGUCUUCGGACCAAAGUGGGGGACCUUCGGGCCUCACACCAUCGGAUGUGCCCAGAUGGGAUUAGCUAGUAGGUGGGGUAAUGGCUCACCUAGGCGACGAUCCCUAGCUGGUCUGAGAGGAUGACCAGCCACACUGGAACUGAGACACGGUCCAGACUCCUACGGGAGGCAGCAGUGGGGAAUAUUGGACAAUGGGCGCAAGCCUGAUGCAGCCAUGCCGCGUGUAUGAAGAAGGCCUUCGGGUUGUAAAGUACUUUCAGCGGGGAGGAAGGGGAUGAGGUUAAUAACCGCAUCGAUUGACGUUACCCGCAGAAGAAGCACCGGCUAACUCCGUG
rnacentral:rRNA from 1 species